rnacentral:rRNA from 1 species
GAUGAACGCUGGCGGCGUGCUUAACACAUGCAAGUCGAACGGAGCAUUUUCAAAUCUUCGGAAGAGGAAAUGACUGAGUGGCGGACGGGUGAGUAACGCGUGGAUAACCUGCCUUAUACAGGGGGAUAACAGUUAGAAAUGACUGCUAAUACCGCAUAAGCCAAUAGAAACGCAUGUCUUAGUUGGAAAAGAUUGAUCGGUAUAAGAUGGACCCGCGUCUGAUUAGCUAGUUGGUGAGGUAAUGGCUCACCAAGGCGACGAUCAGUAGCCGGCUUGAGAGAGUGAACGGCCACAUUGGGACUGAGACACGGCCCAAACUCCUACGGGAGGCAGCAGCGGGGAAUAUUGCACAAUGGGCGAAAGCCUGAUGCAGCAACGCCGCGUGAGCGAUGAAGGCCUUUGGGUCGUAAAGCUCUGUCCUUGGGGAAGAAAAAAAUGACGGUACCCAAGGAGGAAGCCCCGGCUAACUACGUGCCAGCAGCCGCCGUAA